AACGGUAACAUGAGAGCUUGCUCUUGAUGACGAGUGGCGCACGGGUGCGUAACGCGUAUACAAUCUACCUUUUACAGGAGGAUAGCCUUUAGAAAUGAAGAUUAAUACUCCAUGGUAUUAUUGAUUGGCAUCAAUUAAUAAUUAAAGCUUCGGUGGUAAAAGAUGAGUAUGCGUUCUAUUAGCUAGAUGGUGUGGUAACGGCACACCAUGGCAACGAUAGAUAGGGGCCCUGAGAGGGGGAUCCCCCACACUGGUACUGAGACACGGACCAGACUCCUACGGGAGGCAGCAGUGAGGAAUAUUGGACAAUGGAGGCAACUCUGAUCCAGCCAUGCCGCGUGCAGGAAGACUGCCCUAUGGGUUGUAAACUGCUUUUAUACAGGAAGAAACCGCUCUACGUGUAGAGCUCUGACGGUACUGUAAGAAUAAGGAUCGGCUAACUCCGUGCCAGCAGCCGCGGUAAUACGGAGGAUCCAAGCGUUAUCCGGAAUCAUUGGGUUUAAAGGGUCCGUAGGUGGAUAAUUAAGUCAGAGGUGAAAGUUUGCGGCUCAACCGUAAAAUUGCCUUUGAUACUGGUUAUCUUGAGUUAUUAUGAAGUAGUUAGAAUAUGUAGUGUAGCGGUGAAAUGCAUAGAUAUUACAUAGAAUACCAAUUGCGAAGGCAGAUUACUAAUAAUUAACUGACACUGAUGGACGAAAGCGUGGGGAGCGAACAGGAUUA
rnacentral:rRNA from 1 species